rnacentral:rRNA from 1 species
GACGAACGCUGGCGGCGUGCUUAACACAUGCAAGUCGAACGGAAAGGCCUGCUUUCCCCUGUGGAUUGCGGGUACUCGAGUGGCGAACGGGUGAGUAACACGUGAGUGAUCUGCCCCCAACUUGGGUAUAAGCCUGGGAAACUGGGUCUAAUUCCCGAUAGGACUGCAGGGUGGUGCCUGUGGUGGAAAACGAUUUUCUAGUGGUUGGGGAUGAGCUCGCGGCCUAUCAGCUUGUUGGUGGGGUAAUGGCCUACCAAGGCGGCGACGGGUAGCCGGCCUGAGAGGGUGGACGGCCACAUUGGGACUGAGAUACGGCCCAGACUCCUACGGGAGGCAGCAGUGGGGAAUAUUACACAAUGGGCGGAAGCCUGAUGCAGCGACGCCGCGUGGGGGAUGACGGCCUUCGGGUUGUAAACUCCUUUCGACCGCGAGGAAGCCACCUGGUUGGAAGGGUGGUGACGGUAGUGGUAGAAGAAGCACCGGCUAACUACGUG